ACACUUUGAAUGAUGACAUUCAAGAAGAACAUUAAGAUAAUAAACACUGUACUGCGACAAUGUUGAUCUAUUUUCUUAAACAGACUGUGU